AGAGUUUGAUCCUGGCUCAGAUUGAACGUUGGCGGCAGGCCUAACACAUGCAAGUCGAACGGUAACAGCAGGAGCUUGCUCCUGGCUGACGAGUGGCGGACGGGUGAGUAACGCGUAGGAAUCUACCCAAUAGCGGGGGACAACCCGAGGAAACUCGGGCUAAUACCGCAUAAGCUCUACGGAGUAAAGAAGGCCUCUAUUUAUAAGCUUUCACUAUUGGAGGAGCCUGCGUCGGAUUAGCUAGUUGGUGGGGUAAAGGCCCACCAAGGCAACGAUCCGUAGCUGGUCUGAGAGGACGACCAGCCACACUGGAACUGAGACACGGUCCAGACUCCUACGGGAGGCAGCAGUGGGGAAUCUUGGGCAAUGGGCGCAAGCCUGACCCAGCCAUGCCGCGUGUGUGAAGAAGGCUCUAGGGUUGUAAAGCACUUUCAGUAGGGAGGAAAAGUUUAUGGUUAAUAUCCAUAGACCCUGACGUUACCUACAGAAGAAGCACCGGCUAACUCUGUGCCAGCAGCCGCGGUAAUACAGAGGGUGCAAGCGUUAAUCGGAAUUACUGGGCGUAAAGCGCGCGUAGGCGGUUUGAUAAGUCGGAUGUGAAAGCCCUAGGCUCAACCUAGGAACUGCAUUCGAUACUGUCUGACUAGAGUAUGGUAGAGGUAAGUGGAAUUCCAGGUGUAGCGGUGAAAUGCGUAGAUAUCUGGAGGAACAUCAGUGGCGAAGGCGGCUCUCUGGACCAACACUGACGCUGAGGUGCGAAAGCGUGGGUAGCAAACGGGAUUAGAUACCCCGGUAGUCCACGCCGUAAACGAUGUCAGCUAACUGUUGGGCGGGGUUUUCUGCUUAGUGGUGCAGCUAACGCAAUAAGUUGACCGCCUGGGGAGUACGGCCGCAAGGCUAAAACUCAAUUGAAUUGACGGGGGCCCGCACAAGCGGUGGAGCAUGUGGUUUAAUUCGAUGCAACGCGAAGAACCUUACCUACCAUUGACAUACAGUGAACUUUCUAGAGAUAGAUUGGUGCCUUCGGGAACUCUGAUACAGGUGCUGCAUGGCUGUCGUCAGCUCGUGUCGUGAGAUGUUGGGUUAAGUCCCAUAACGAGCGCAACCCUUGUCCUUAGUUGCCAGCGCGUAAUGGCGGCACUCUAGGGAGACUGCCGGUGACAAACCGGAGGAAGGCGGGGAUGACGUCAAGUCAUCAUGGCCCUUAUGGGCUGGGCUACACACGUGCUACAAUGGCCGGUACAGAGGGUUGCAAUGCCGCGAGGUGGAGCCAAUCCCAGAAAGCCGGUCCUAGUCCGGAUUGCAGUCUGCAACUCGACUGCAUGAAGUCGGAAUCGCUAGUAAUCGCGAAUCAGAAUGUCGCGGUGAAUACGUUCCCGGGCCUUGUACACACCGCCCGUCACACCAUGGGAGUGGGCUGCAAAAGAAGUGGGUAGUCUAACCUUCGGGAGGACGCUCACCACUUUGUGGUUCAUGACUGGGGUGAAGUCGUAACAAGGUAGCCGUAGGGGAACCUGCGGCUGGAUCACCUCCUU
rnacentral:rRNA from 1 species